AACGAACGCUGGCGGCAGGCCUAACACAUGCAAGUCGAGCGAAGCCUUCGGGCUUAGCGGCGGACGGGUGAGUAACGCGUGGGAACGUACCCUUUGCUACGGAAUAGCCACUGGAAACGGUGAGUAAUACCGUAUGUGCCCUUCGGGGGAAAGAUUUAUCGGCAAAGGAUCGGCCCGCGUUGGAUUAGGUAGUUGGUGGGGUAAUGGCCUACCAAGCCGACGAUCCAUAGCUGGUUUGAGAGGAUGAUCAGCCACACUGGGACUGAGACACGGCCCAGACUCCUACGGGAGGCAGCAGUGGGGAAUCUUAGACAAUGGGGGCAACCCUGAUCUAGCCAUGCCGCGUGAGUGAUGAAGGCCCUAGGGUUGUAAAGCUCUUUCAGCUGGGAAGAUAAUGACGGUACCAGCAGAAGAAGCCCCGGCUAACUCCGUGCCAGCAGCCGCGGUAA
rnacentral:rRNA from 1 species